rnacentral:lncRNA from 1 species
GGUGGAUGGUGAGCAAGGAGCCUCUCGGGUGGAGGGCGGUCAGGGGCACCUGUGAGAGGAGUAGUUGGGUGAGAAGGCCAUGUUGACCUCACCUCCCUGACCAGACCCCCCCCCGCGUUUUGGAACCGGGUAACCAGGCACCCGCAUUCCAGAGGCAGGCCUCUACAUGCUCACUUGGUUGGAGAUCAUCUAUCCAAGAGCAUGUUUUCCUGCUGCUUCCACAUGUCUGGAUGUUGCCGAGGGAGGACUGCACGCCCUGCCAGCAGUGCCACCCACGGGGAGUGUCCUGGCAGGGCUCCCCGACGCCUCUGGCCACUUAGAAGGAAGGGUCGAAAGAACAUCAAAAAUGAAGUGGAAAGGAGGCUGCAGACCCCACUUCAACCCUUACCGAGGGGCAGUUGUGCCAGGCUGCCCAGCAGGGCCAGCAUGGAAUCCGACCCAGAGUAGCCGCACAUGGCUCCCCUCACAAGGGACCGGGGCUUGUCUGGGAAGGCCUGUGACACUGCCCAAGCCACUGUACCUGGUCCAGGUCCUACACCGGACUCUGGUCCUAGAGGAGGAGCUAACAGAGGCCGAGCCUGAGGGUGAUAAGCCUGGGGCUGGGGAAUUGGGGUGUCUGGGCAGGGGUGGGUGCUGGGACCCACAGGGAGGCGCCCCCAGAGGCUGGGGUGGGGCCAGGAGCCACAGUUGGGCUCAGAGCACCCAGCUGGGGGAUGGCAGUCGGGGAGACGUUCCAUGGUGGGAUCUUGGCGGCGGCUUCUAG